rnacentral:lncRNA from 1 species
CCCGACAUGACUAUAUGCAGCUGCAAAAUGGCUGGUUGUGCUGUGUUCUUGGCAUACCCACCCUCUCCUCUUCCACUGCUUUUCUUUUUUCUUUCCCACAUACAGGUCAGCUUCAUGAGUGGUCUCGGAGGAUUGAGCUGUAUGACUUUAGGAAGAGAUUGGGCAAUAAAUUUGAUAGAGUUCUCACACAGACUAACUGUGGUAAGGUGGGAAGGUAGAGAGAAAGGAGCAGAGGCUCUGUCACAGUGGGUUGGGGACUUUGAUCUUGGAAUCACCUUUGAAGAGAAAGAAAAAGUGAUAGGAUAAGAGAAGAGAGUUUAAGGUGUUUUGUUUGAGUAGAAAAAUCUUGCCUCAGUUAGCUCUUGGGCAUGGUUUGUUCAUUUGGAAAAUGGAAACUGAUAUGUCUUUUUUUUUUGCAGAUUUAUUGGGUUGUUGUGAGCCAAAACCACCUUGGGCCUGGUGGACAUGUUGCAAAUGAGAAGGUCACCGAGGAGUAGAUCAAGGCCACAGAAAGGUGGGCCGGACCAGGGUCUCCCAAGAGAGAAGAGCACGAUGGAUUUAAGGACUGCAGGAUGGCAGCUGAGGGCUGAGCUCAUACCUGGAGGUCAGCCAUGGUGGAGAGAACCCACACAGGCCUGAGCCUGAAAGGCAUGUGUGGGGAAGGCAAGGCUCAUGUUCUAUGUUGGCAGAGGAAAGCAAAGAGAUCUGGCUUGAAAACACUACCUUUCUCCUGAAGGUUUCAAGAACACAGUGAGUGGAGAAGUCAGAACCAAAAGUGAGCCCUGGUUUCUAGCUCCUCUGUCACCUCUUAUCUCUAAGACCCUGGGCAAUGGUUUGACAUAUCUGAGUCUACAUUCUGAGAAUGCAAAGGGAAUGCCACACAUCUGCCCACCUCACAGUUCCUGUAAAUAAGACAGUGCUCUGAGAAUCAUUAGGUAUUAAAGGAAUGGAAAAAGCCUGGCUUUUGGGGUCUUAUUUGAGAAUAGUGUUCUGUUCCUGGGGACAGAAUGACCGCAGCCUCUGUAGAGUUUUUCAGAGAAGUGAAGUGGUCAGAACAAUACCAGCCUAAAUGUAGAGACAGAAAGCAAUUCUAUAAGCCUCUUUCCAGAAAAAAACAGAUGUGAACUUCUCCCAAGAGUCUGUGUUCAUGAUAUAUGUCAUCCCUUUGUGUCUUCUGGGCUUUGUUCUAGGAGCCUCCUGUGGAUAUGAAAAUCUGAAGUUGUUCAAGUGUCCUAUUUAGAAUGGUGUAGUUUUCCACGUAACAUAUUCACAAAAUCCUGUAUAAUUUGGAUCAUCUCUAGAUUACUCAUAAUAUCUAAUGUAAUAUAAAUGUUAUUACAUAGUUAUUAUACUGUAUUGCUUAAGGAAUAAUGACAAGAAAAUAAAGAUUAAUUUGACUAAAUUUUCAGUACAGACACAAUUUUUCCCCCAAAGUACUUUGGAUCUGCAGUUGGACAAAGAACCCACAGAUACUGAGGUCAGUAUUUUAAUCUCCAAGGUCUCUCUGAAGAAGCCAAAUAUCAAGCAGAUAAAUUAAGACAAACUUUGCCAUGUGUUGGU